rnacentral:rRNA from 1 species
UCGAGCGAAGCUUUUCAGUAGUUUACUACAGAAAAUGACUGAGCAGCGAACGGGUGAGUAACGCGUGAGCAACCUACCUUAGUUACCGGGAUAGCCCGAGGAAACUCGGAUUAAUACCGGAUAUUCUUAUUUAAUCACAUGAUUUUUUAAGGAAAGGUCAGCCGAACUAAGAUGGGCUCGCGUUCUAUCAGCUAGUUGGUAGGGUAAUGGCCUACCAAGGCUACGACGGAUAGCUGGUCUGAGAGGACGAUCAGCCACACUGGGACUGAGACACGGCCCAGACUCCUACGGGAGGCUGCAGCAGGGAAUAUUGCGCAAUGAGCGAAAGCUUGACGCAGCGACACCGCGUGUGGGAUGACGGAUCUAGGUUUGUAAACCACUUUCAGGAGGGAAGAAAAUGACGGUACCUCCACAAGAAGCCCCGGCCAACUACGUGCCAGCAGCCGCGGUAAUACGUAGGGGGCGAGCGUUGUCCGGAUUUAUUGGGCGUAAAGAGCUCGUAGGCGGUUCAACAAGUCGGUCGUGAAAGUUCAGGGCUCAACCCUGAAAUGUCGAUCGAUACUGUUGUGACUAGGAUACGGUAGAGGUGAGUGGAAUUCCGAGUGUAGCGGUGAAAUGCGUAGAUAUUCGGAGGAACACCAAUUGCGAAGGCAGCUCACUGGGCCGCUAUUGACGCUGAGGAGCGAAAGCUAGGGGAGCAAACAGGAUUAGAUACCCUGGUAGUCCUAGCUGUAAACGAUGGAUACUAGACGUAGGAAUUGGAUUAACGAUUUCUGUGUCGUAGCUAACGCGUUAAGUAUCCCGCCUGGGGAGUACGGUCGCAAGACUAAAACUCAAAGGAAUUGACGGGACCCGCACAAGCGGCGGAGCAUGCGGCUUAAUUCGAUGAUACCCGUAGAACCUUACCUGGACUUGACAUAUAGGGAAAAAU